rnacentral:SRP_RNA from 1 species
GCUGGGCGUGGUGGCAUGUGCCUGUAGUCCCAGCUACUCAGAAGGCUGAGGUGGGAGGAUCACUUGAGCUCAGGAGUUCUGGGCUGUAGUACGCUAUGCGGAUCGAGUGUCCACACUAAGUUCGGCAUCAAUAUGGUGACCUCUCGGGAGCAGGGAACCAGCAGGUGACCUAAGGAGGGUGAACUGGCCCAGGUCGGAAAUGGAGCAGGUCAAAACUCCCGUGCUGAUUGGUAGUGGGAUCACGCCUGUGAAUAACCACUGCAUGCCAGCCUGGGUAACAUAGUGAGACCCUGUCUCU